GGUUCAUAUUGCUGUUGGUGUGCUUUCUGUCUCCAGGGCUGCAGACCUGAUUGGCAGGGUAAUCAGCGGCAUGGGACACACCUGGGCCCGGUGUGCCCCAUGCAUAUAAGCCAGAGCAGCAGUCAGUCUUGGUUUGGACCUCCUCCUCUCACAGCUUCCUUUGUUUGUUUUGUUUCUUUCUUUGUUUUUACAGCACAACAUCCAUGCAGCACAUUUUCACUCAUCCACUCCCUACACUGCUGACUUUACAGAUUCUUCCUACUCAUUGGUUUUGCUUAUUUUCUUAUUAAUAAAUCACUUUGUUAUUUAGUUUACCCGUGUGUCUCCCCUUUUUGUCCAGUCCAUGAGCCGGGCUGUGACAGCAUCUGCAUCUUUUCAGCUCUUGUAGCUCACACCAAGUAAAAUUCAGUCCGAUAUUUACUCUUGUCCGGUCUCUUGCUCAGUCACUCUUUUUUCUCUUCCUCGCUUUCUCCAACGUCUUCUUCGUCUCUUCACAGCCUCCGCCAUGAUACCCAUAGACUUCCUGCCUGGGAUUUCAAUAUUACAUCGGCGCUCGGAGUGGCAAUGACAGGGACGCCACUCACCUUAUUACAAGGAGGGGCUGCAAGUUUGACCUUUUAAGUGUUUGAAUAGGCGAGACAAUAAAGAUAUCGGGUUCCUUCUUGGUGAAUCUCCAAGACACUACAGUGAGCACACUCAUCCUGCUUCAUCUCCCACUAAGUCGUUUACAACUCUGUCAAAUAAAGCUAUGACAGGAUGUGCCAGGAGUCUCACUGCAGCUACUGCAACAGUUUACAAGAGACAGAGAGGCAAAUUAGAGUAAUAAACUCUGACUGCAGCAAAGUCCACUCACAGUAUAGUAAGGUGUUUGUAGGUCUCCGGUGUGUUUUCAGUCUGUAUGAGUGUGUAAGCUUUGUUUGCAUUUUUCAUGUGUUGAAUACAUUUCUUGUUCAAAAAGAUGACUCUGUUUCUGUUAGUGAAUUUCAUCCUCCUGUUCAGACACUUACAUAAGAAUCAGUGGUGAUCUGAAAUGUAAAUAAUAAAAACAAUUUGAAGAGCAA